rnacentral:rRNA from 1 species
AUUGAACGCUAGCGGGAUGCUUUACACAUGCAAGUCGAGCGAGCGGCGGACGGGUGAGUAAUGUAUGGGGACUGCCCGAUAGAGGGGGAUAACUACUGGAAACGGUAGCUAAUACCGCAUACUAUCGGAUAACCCAUAUGGGAUUAGCUAGUAGGUGAGGUAAUGGCUCACCUAGGAGACGAUCCCUAGCUGGUCUGAGAGGAUGAUCAGCACCACGGGGAUUGAGACACGGCCCAGACCCCUACGGGGGCAGCAGUGGGGAAUAUUGCACAAUGGGCGCAACCCUGAUGCAGCCAGCCCGCGUGUAUGAAGAGGGCCCUAGGGUUGUAAAGUACUUUCAGUCGGGAGGCGUUACCGACAGAAGAAGCACCGGCUAACUCCGUGCCAGCAGCCGCGGAAAAC